UACGUAGGGUGCAGCGUUGCCCGGAUUUAUUGGGCGUAAAGGGCGCGUAGGCGGCUCGUCGCACGUCCGUUGUGAAAUCGCCCGGCUCAACUGGGCGGGGUCAGCGGAUACGGCCGAGCUUGAGCAAGCUAGGGGGCAAUGGAAUUCCCGGUGUAGUGGUGGAAUGCGUAGAUAUCGGGAGGAACACCAGUGGCGAAGGCGGUUGCCCGGGGCUUUGCUGACGCUGAUGCGCGAAAGCGUGGGGAGCGAUCCGG
rnacentral:rRNA from 1 species